rnacentral:rRNA from 1 species
GAUGAACGCUGGCGGCGUGCUUAACACAUGCAAGUCGAACGGAAAGGCCCAAGCUUGCUUGGGUACUCGAGUGGCGAACGGGUGAGUAACACGUGGGUGAUCUGCCCUGCACUUCGGGAUAAGCCUGGGAAACUGGGUCUAAUACCGGAUAGGACCACUUCUUGGAUGUUGUGGUGGAUAGUUUUUUCGGUGUGGGAUGAGCUCGCGGCCUAUCAGCUUGUUGGUGGGGUAAUGGCCUACCAAGGCGUCGACGGGUAGCCGGCCUGAGAGGGUGUACGGCCACAUUGGGACUGAGAUACGGCCCAGACUCCUACGGGAGGCAGCAGUGGGGAAUAUUGCACAAUGGGCGCAAGCCUGAUGCAGCGACGCCGCGUGGGGGAUGACGGCCUUCGGGUUGUAAACUCCUUUCGCUAGGGACGAAGCGUUUUGUGACGGUACCUGGAGAAGAAGCACCGGCUAACUACGUG